rnacentral:lncRNA from 1 species
GGAUUCAAGUGAUUCUCCUGCCUCAGCCUUAAGUGAUCCGCCUGGCUCAGCCUCCCAGCGUGCUGGGAUUACAGGUGUGAGCCACCACGACCGGCCCUGAUUGUCUUUCUUUUGGGUAUAUGCUCUGUAUGAGAUUGCUGAAUCAUAUGGUAGCUCUAUUUUUAGUUUUUGAGGAACCUCCAAACUGUUCUCCAUAGUGGUUAUACUAAUUUAUAUUCCUGUCUCUACUAAAAAUAAAAAAUUAAAAAAUUCACCAGGCAUGGUGGCUCAAGCCUGUAGUCCCAGCUACUUGGGAGGCUGAGGCACGGGUUCAAGUAGAGACAUGCUUAUUAUAGAUUCUUUUUUUUUUUUUUUUUGAAAGAACAAAACAUCUACAGCUCUGCAAAGCUGGUGGGACCUGAUGUUUACCUUAAUUCUGACUUGAACUGGAAGCAUUUUAAGAAAACUUCUCAUUGCUUUUCUAACAAACUCCAGCUUAUUUUGCCUUUGUUGCUACUUCUAGCUAGAUUUCAAACUUGCCUGUGGACUUGACAAUGCAAAUUGCAAUUAAUUAUUUCUGGAGUCAUGGGAACACACAGCAUAGAGGGUACGUGGGGCCCCCAGGUGCUGAAUCUAGACAUCUGUGGGGUCUCCUGAGUUCAGCAGCUGUUGAUCCAAUGUCAACGUUGACCAUCAGGGGAGUGGUUUAAGAGUACCAGGCAAAGGGCAAACUGUAGAUCAAUC